UCUCACGUCUAGUACUUUAUCCCGAUUUCGAUUUUCGUCAUCACUUCUUCAUUCGUUAAUCGCUCUUCGCCGGAGCUCAGCGUUAUACUCAUGUAAUGCCCGAUCCGUGGUAAUUACAAGUCAGUGACCUACUCCGGCGUUUAUCUCUGAAUCUGAUUAUGGCUAGCCUUGUUCGAUCCUGGAUCCCUUUGUUAGUUUUGCAAUCGUUUUUGUUUGCGAUCGCUUUUGGAUCGACACAAGUCGAAGAAUUCAGCGAAGCAUUGCUGUUGAAGCCUUUGCCUGAUCGAAAAGUUUUAGCUCACUUCCAUUUCGAGAACCGAGCUCCUCCCUCGAAUUCCCAUGGCCGCCAUCACCAUCUCUUCCCAAAAGCUAUUUCUCAGUUGGUUCAGAAAUUCCGGGUCAAGGAGAUGGAACUAUCUUUUACUCAGGGUCGUUGGAACCAUGAACAUUGGGGAGGAUUUGACCCUCUAUCAAGUAUGAAUGCAAAGCCCGUUGGGGUCGAGCUAUGGGCUGUGUUUGAUGUUCCUCAGUCUCAGGUUGACACUUCUUGGAAGAACUUAACUCAUGCACUUUCAGGGCUUUUCUGUGCUUCCAUCAACUUUCUUGAAUCUUCCACUUCUUAUGCUGCUCCUACAUGGGGAUUUGGGACAAAUUCAGACAAGCUGAGGUAUGGUUCACUGCCACGUGAAGCUGUUUGUACUGAGAACUUGACCCCAUGGCUAAAACUGCUUCCAUGUAGAGACAAGGAUGGCAUUUCUGCACUAAUGAAUAGGCCAUCUGUUUACAGAGGCUUUUAUCAUUCUCAGAGAUUGCAUUUAUCCACGGUUGAAUCUGGUCAAGAGGGAUUGGGUUCUGGCAUAGUGCUGGAGCAAUCUCUUACUGUUGUUCUUCAGCCUGAUACUACUUCUAUUGAAACAAAUAUACAACCCAGUUGGUCCCUUAGCUCCCUCUUUGGGCGAAAAGUAGUUGGGAGAUGUGUUCUUGCAAAUUCAAGUCAUGUGUAUCUUCAGUUGGAGGGUCGUCUUGGUCAGGAAUCAAAGAACGUGGAUACAGAGAUAGAAGCACACAAACUCUGGAAGAACGCAGAUUUUGAAUUGUCCUUUAAGCCAGACAGGGUUCUUCGAGAAAGCAGCAGUUUUCUCUUUAUCUUUGAUAUUGACAAUGCUAGUGACAGUGAGCCAUUUGAUCUUGGCCUUACUUGGAAAGUUCCCUCAAAGUGGUCAUGUCAACAAGCUCCAUUGCACGCAAGUCGUUUUUUGAUGGGGAGUGGCAACGAAAGGGGCGCAAUAGCCAUCUUGUUAAAAGCGACAGAAUCGCAGGAGAGUUCACCUGUCAGAGAACUCACUGAUGGACGCUGUACAAUAAAAGCAAAUGUUUUCCAGAUUUUCCCAUGGUAUAUUAAGGUUUACUAUCAUACCUUACAAAUUUUUGUGGAUCAACAACUGAAGACAGACAGUGAAGUCUUAAAGAAGAUCAAUGUCUCACCAUCUACUGAUAAGGUGUCAUCUGGCAUGUUGGAGAUAAUGCUGGAACUACCAUGUGAAGUGAAAUCUGCAGCCAUAUCAAUCGAAUAUGAUAAGGGUUUUCUACAUAUAGAUGAAUAUCCCCCUGAUGCUAAUCAAGGAUUUGACAUUCCAUCGGCUUUGAUAAGCUUUCCCAAUCAUCAUGCUAGUUUAGAUUUUCAAGAAGAACUCAGCAAAUCGCCCUUAAUAUCAAGUUUUAAGGAAAAAUCCUUAGUUCGUUCUUACACAGAAGUAUUGCUCGUCCCUUUGACAACUCCUGAUUUUAGCAUGCCCUACAAUGUAAUCACAAUCACAUGCACCAUCUUCGCAUUGUAUUUUGGAUCAUUGCUCAAUGUUUUACGUAGACGAAUCGGUGAAGAAGAAAGGUUUCUCAAAAGCCAAGCAGGAAAGAAAACAGGUGGGCUAAAGCAGUUAUUAUCAAGAUUCACGGCCAAGAUUAGAGGGAGACCAAUUGAAGCACCAUCAUCAGAGUCGCCUGCAGCUAAAUCUCCGUUCUUGUCUAGUAAACUUAUUUUCAAAAUCAUAUUAGUUGCAGGAGCUGCUGCAGCUUGGCAAUAUUUUUCCACGGACAAGUAGGCUUAAAACUUUGAAAAAGAAUGCCAGUUGUACCAUAUGUGUAUCGACAAGAAGCAAUCAUAUCAUCUUCUCUUCUCCUCUUCAGACCCUCAUUACUCUUGAAACUGCACGUCACGGGCGUUUUAGAAGCGCUCCCGCUCCC